GUUUAUCGUUAUCUCUAACAAAAAUCCUAUUAAAUAAAAAUAAAUAAUUAACCAAAAUAUAACUAUAAACUACUAUAAUACAUUUUUACAUACAUUCUUCUAAAUAAAAUAUUCAAGAACUUAAAAAAUAAAAAACAAUGUAAAAUAAAUAUACGUACAAACAGAAUUGACGAUUGCAUUUGUUAUUAGUUAAAACUAGAUGCGAAUACAAAAGACUACGUCACCGCUCCAGAUAAGCGAUAGGCGCUGGUCAACGUAUGAGGCGCAUUCGCGCUCGCAUUCCCUACCACGGCUCCGACAGCGAAAGGUCAAGUUACCUAAAACUCUCAUAACGUCAGACGACAUGGAGUGACAAAUUUAUUUUAAAUUUUAACUACAAUUAAAUGUGUUAAGUGCCAGUUUUUCCCCAAAUAGGGGAACAAGUCUGGGGUCGUUAACUGGACCCACAAUUUGGAUGCGCGCGCGCCUGCACACGUUCCGGAAGGUUCCGGAAGGAAGACUGGCGGUCCGGAACUGCCUCUGAUGACGACCACGCCCAGUACGACUUCGGCGGCGUAGUGCAGGGAAGUGACCCCUAACAAGGGCUUGUUUCUUCUUUUAUUGUAACCGGCCAGCUCAGGAAAUACCUACCCACGAUCCUGGAUAAUUAGAUAGGUUUUUUUCAUUUAAAAUAUAGUUUGUAAAAUUUUUC
rnacentral:lncRNA from 1 species